rnacentral:rRNA from 1 species
CCUACGGGAGGCAGUAGUGAGGAAUAUUGGUCAAUGGACGAGAGUCUGAACCAGCCAAGUAGCGUGAAGGAUGACUGCCCUAUGGGUUGUAAACUUCUUUUAUAUGGGAAUAAAACGUUCCACGUGUGGGAUUUUGUAUGUACCAUAUGAAUAAGGAUCGGCUAACUCCGUGCCAGCAGCCGCGGUAAUACGGAGGAUCCGAGCGUUAUCCGGAUUUAUUGGGUUUAAAGGGAGCGUAGGUGGAUUGUUAAGUCAGUUGUGAAAGUUUGCGGCUCAACCGUAAAAUUGCAGUUGAAACUGGCAGUCUUGAGUACAGUAGAGGUGGGCGGAAUGCGUGGUGUAGCGGUGAAAUGCUUAGAUAUCACGAAGAACUCCGAUUGCGAAGGCAGUUCACUGGACUGCAACUGACACUGAGGCUCGAAAGUGUGGGUAUCAAACAGGAUUAGAUACCCGUGUAGUC